CGGAGGGUGCAAGCGUUAUCCGGAAUCAUUGGGUUUAAAGGGCCCGCAGGCGGUCUUAUAAGUCAGUGGUGAAAGCCUACAGCUUAACUGUAGAACUGCCAUUGAUACUGUAAGACUUGAAUUCGGUCGAAGUGGGCGGAAUGUGACAUGUAGCGGUGAAAUGCUUAGAUAUGUCACAGAACACCGAUAGCGAAGGCAGCUCACUAGGCCUGGAUUGACGCUCAUGGACGAAAGCGUGGGGAGCAAACAGGAUUAGAUACCCUGGUAGUCCACGCCGUAAACUAUGAUUACUCGUUUUCGGCGAUAUACAGUCGGAGACUAAGCGAAAGUGAUAAGUAAUCCACCUGGGGAGUACGAUCGCAAGGUUG
rnacentral:rRNA from 1 species